GACUGCUCCUUCACACAGUGCCUGCCUGCAUCACCGCUCCUGCUGCGUAUUCUGCAAGUUUGUUCCUCUUUCAAUGCUACCUGCCUGGGUGUGGGGGACUGAAUUUAAAGUCAGUGUAUUGUCCCUGGAAGGUUUUACUUGAGUGGUAGGUGCUGCUUGCCCUACUGGUUUAUGGGUUGACCCCCUAUUACUUACAUGUAAUUUAGUUAUUAAGGGGAGCCUGCUGUUGCUGUCUCCUAAACUGGCUGAGCCAUGGUUGUUUGACCACGUUUGUUAUACGGCCUGUAUUUACUGUGGCUGAUUUUAUUCUGCCAAACUGUCUGUACACUUUUUUUAAGACUAAGAUGGGGCUCGACCUUCAUGCGGGCUGGACGAGUUUCAUGAGCGCCCCCUGCCUGUAACCCAACGUAUGGACUAAAUCAACUAAUACCCAUCCUAACGCUAGCUACAAUGAGACAUACCUCAUCUCUGCCUAAGCUGGUCCAGGUUGAGCGUCGGUUAGACGUAAUUUUGGUCUUAUU